rnacentral:siRNA from 1 species
UGGCCGUGUCUACACAUCCC